AUACUUACCUAGCAGGGGAGAUACCAUGAUCACAAAGAUGGUUUUCCUAAGGCGAGGCUUAUCCAUUGCACUCUGGAUGUGCUGACCCCUGAGAUUUCCCCAAAUGUGGGAAACUCAACUGCAUAAUAUGGGGUAGUGGGAGACUGCAUUCAUACUCUCGCUUA
rnacentral:snRNA from 1 species